GUGUACCGGUUGUGACGCCAGUCGCAUCGCCGGGUAGCUAUGUUCGGAAGGGAUAACCGCUGAAAGCAUCUAAGCGGGAAGCCUACCUCAAGAUAAGAUUUCCCUAGGACUUUAUGUCCUCUAAAGAGCCGUUCGAGACUAGGACGUUGAUAGGUUGGAUGUGGAAGCAUAGUGAUAUGUGAAGCUGACCAAUACUAAUUGCUCGUGAGGCUUGACUAUACAACACCCA
rnacentral:rRNA from 1 species